rnacentral:rRNA from 1 species
ACCCGGAGAGACAGCAGAAUGAAGGUCAAGCUGAAGACUUUACCAGACAAGCUGAGAGGUGGUGCAUGGCCGUCGCCAGCUCGUGCCGUGAGAUGUCCUGUUAAGUCAGGUAACGAGCGAGAUCCUCGCCACUAGUUGCUAUCAUUAUUCUCAGGAAUAGUGGGGCGAAUUAGUGGGACUGCCGUUGUUAAAACGGAGGAAGGAGGGGGCUACGGCAGGUCAGUAUGCCCCGAAACUCUGGGGCCACACGCGGGCUGCAAUGGUAGCGACAAUGAGUUCCAAACUCGAAAGAGAGUGGCAAUCUCUAAACGCUACCACAGUUAUGACUGAGGGCUGUAACUCGCCCUCACGAAUAUGGAAUCCCUAGUAACCGCGUGUCAUUACCGCGCGGUGAAUACGUCCCUGCUCCUUGCACACACCGCCCGUCACGCCACCCGAGUUGAGCCCAAGUGAGGCCCUGUCCACCGGGCAGGGUCGAACUUGGGUUCAGCGAGGGGGGCGAAGUCGUAACAAGGUAGCCGUAGGGGAACCUGCGGCUG